AAAGCUCAAAUUUGAAAUCUGGCACCUUCGGUGUCCGAGUUGUAAUUUGAAGAAGGUAACUUUGGAGUUGGCUCUUGUCUAUGUUCCUUGGAACAGGACGUCACAGAGGGUGAGAAUCCCGUGCGAUGAGAUGCCCAAUUCUAUGUAAAGUGCUUUCGAARAGUCGAGUUGUUUGGGAAUGCAGCUCUAAGUGGGUGGUAAAUUCCAUCUAAAGCUAAAUAUUGGCGAGAGACCGAUAGCGAACAAGUACAGUGAUGGAAAGAUGAAAAGAACUUUGAAAAGAGAGUGAAAAAGUACGUGAAAUUGUUGAAAGGGAAGGGCUUGAGAUCAGACUUGGUAUUUUGCAAGCCUUACCUUCGUGGUGGGGUCCCCUGCAGUUUACUGGGCCAGCAUCGGUUUGGAUGGUAGGAUAAUGACUUGGGAAUGUGACUUUGCUUCGGUAAAGUGUUAUAGCCC
rnacentral:rRNA from 1 species